GAUGAACGCUGGCGGCGUGCCUAAUACAUGCAAGUCGAGCGAACAGAUGAGGAGCUUGCUCCUCUGACGUUAGCGGCGGACGGGUGAGUAACACGUGGAUAACCUACCUAUAAGACUGGGAUAACUUCGGGAAACCGGAGCUAAUACCGGAUAAUAUAUUGAACCGCAUGGUUCAAUAGUGAAAGACGGUUUUGCUGUCACUUAUAGAUGGAUCCGCGCCGCAUUAGCUAGUUGGUAAGGUAACGGCUUACCAAGGCAACGAUGCGUAGCCGACCUGAGAGGGUGAUCGGCCACACUGGAACUGAGACACGGUCCAGACUCCUACGGGAGGCAGCAGUAGGGAAUCUUCCGCAAUGGGCGAAAGCCUGACGGAGCAACGCCGCGUGAGUGAUGAAGGUCUUCGGAUCGUAAAACUCUGUUAUUAGGGAAGAACAAAUGUGUAAGUAACUAUGCACGUCUUGACGGUACCUAAACAGAAAGCCACGGCUAACUACGUG
rnacentral:rRNA from 1 species